UACGUAGGGGGGCAAGCGUUGUCCGGAAUCAUUGGGCGUAAAGCGCGUGUAGGCGGCUCGGUAAGUCCGCUCUGAAAGUCCAAGGCUCAACCUUGGGAUGCGGGUGGAUACUGCCGGGCUCGAGUCCGGAAGAGGAGAGUGGAAUUCCUGGUGUAGCGGUGAAAUGCGUAGAGAUCAGGAGGAACACCCGGGGCGAAGGCGGCCCUCUGGCUCGACCCUGACGCUGAGGCGCGAAAGCGUGGGGAGCGAACGGG
rnacentral:rRNA from 1 species